CGUCGGGGUUUAUAUUUAGUUAUAUAAUUAUUUUGAAUUUGCUUCUUAGAAAUCUGUUUCUAUGAAGAUGGGAAAGUUGGUUUAAUAUUAGAUAAUGUGUUCAUAAUCAAAGAGGUGGAUACAAAAUUCAAUUUCAGUGACAGGGUUACUUGACAUUUGAGCAUAUAACAUGGAUCCUGUAGCUUGUGCUGAUCUUGCUGUGGUCUUAAUGCAAGAAGGAUUAGCUCACAACUUGCUUAUUGGUCAUGAUAUGUACGGCUAAGUCAUAAUUCAAUCCAAAAAACACAAUUUUUAGACUGAUAUCUAGUUCCUUGCUUGAAUUGUGUACAGGUAAGAAGAAGACGAAGAAAAAGAAGAUGAAAAACUUCUUUUGAAAGAUAUUAAGAUGUUGAUGCAAGAGAU